rnacentral:rRNA from 1 species
AUUGAACGCUGGCGGCAUGCUUUACACAUGCCAGUCGGACGGCAGCACAGAGAAGCUUGCUUCUUGGGUGGCGAGUGGCGAACGGGUGAGUAAUAUAUCGGAACGUACCGAGUAAUGGGGGAUAACUAAUCGAAAGAUUAGCUAAUACCGCAUAUUCUCUGAGGAGGAAAGCAGGGGACCUUCGGGCCUUGCGUUAUUCGAGCGGCCGAUAUCUGAUUAGCUAGUUGGUGGGGUAAAGGCCUACCAAGGCGACGAUCAGUAGCGGGUCUGAGAGGAUGAUCCGCCACACUGGGACUGAGACACGGCCCAGACUCCUACGGGAGGAAGCAGUGGGGAAUUUUGGACAAUGGGUGCAAGCCUGAUCCAGCCAUGCCGCGUGUCUGAAGAAGGCCUUCGGGUUGUAAAGGACUUUUGUCAGGGAAGAAAAGGCUGUUGCUAAUAUCAAUAGCUGAUGACGGUACCUGAAGAAUAAGCACCGGCUAACUACGUG